rnacentral:rRNA from 1 species
AACGAACGCUGGCGGCAUGCCUAACACAUGCAAGUCGAACGAGACCUUCGGGUCUAGUGGCGCACGGGUGCGUAACGCGUGGGAACCUGCCCUUAGGUUCGGAAUAACUCCCCGAAAGGGGUGCUAAUACCGGAUAAUGUCUUCGGACCAAAGAUUUAUCGCCUUUGGAUGGGCCCGCGUUGGAUUAGCUAGUUGGUAGGGUAAAAGCCUACCAAGGCGACGAUCCAUAGCUGGUCUGAGAGGAUGAUCAGCCACACUGGGACUGAGACACGGCCCAGAAUCCUACGGGAGGAAGCAGUGGGGAAUAUUGGAAAAUGGGCGAAAGCCUGAUCCAGCAAUGCCGCGUGAGUGAUGAAGGCCUUAGGGUUGUAAAGCUCUUUUACCCGGGAUGAUAAUGACAGUACCGGGAGAAUAAGCUACGGCUAACUCC